UAAGUAUGGAACCCAAUGGGUCACACACAAGAAAACUUAUUAAGGGUCUAAUUGGAUUAGAUCAUGUUUGCAAGAUAGACAUCCUAGCAGGUGUUGCAAACCCUUAGCUCUUGAUUCGAAUUGGAUUCGAAUCUGAUUCUUAAUUGAUCUAAUUUGAUUAGAUCAUGUUCUAAUAUGGGUUAACCAAGAGUUGGCACCUAAUUGGCUUGGUUUGAGUCUAAUUGAAUUAGAUUUAAUA
rnacentral:lncRNA from 1 species